GAAGAACGAGGGAGGUGUGCUUAACACAUGCAAGUCGAACGGAAAGGCCCUGCUUUUGUGGGGUGCUCGAGUGGCGAACGGGUGAGUAACACGUGAGUAACCUGCCCUUGACUUUGGGAUAACUUCAGGAAACUGGGGCUAAUACCGGAUAGGAGCUCCUGCUGCAUGGUGGGGGUUGGAAAGUUUCGGCGGUUGGGGAUGGACUCGCGGCUUAUCAGCUUGUUGGUGGGGUAGUGGCUUACCAAGGCUUUGACGGGUAGCCGGCCUGAGAGGGUGACCGGCCACAUUGGGACUGAGAUACGGCCCAGACUCCUACGGGAGGCAGCAGUGGGGAAUAUUGCACAAUGGGCGGAAGCCUGAUGCAGCAACGCCGCGUGCGGGAUGACGGCCUUCGGGUUGUAAACCGCUUUCGCCUGUGACGAAGCGUGAGUGACGGUAAUGGGUAAAGAAGCACCGGCUAACUACGUG
rnacentral:rRNA from 1 species